UACAACUAUUGCAGCGGCAAAUGUAAUUACGGCAGAAGGGUUUAUGGUGCGCCCUAACAGCCCUAGCAGCUUUAGUUCACAUAAUCCCAAGCACAGAGUUAAAUCAUUCAAAGAGAAGGGACUCAAUCUAUUCGAGGGGUCUAUUGUGUAAUCACAGCACCUAUAAAAACCAGCACAUAAUAAAUGAGAAGACUCACAUGCCAGGUGUGCUCGAUGUACGGCAGAAAAAAUUGUGUUACGAUUGGUUUUGGGGGACUACGAUGUGGCAAGUACUACUCGAACAGUAACGGGUUUGGCCACACCUGAGUGGCAGAUCGACCUAUCUCGACAGUAUUGAAAAUAUGUCGAGAUAGGGCGUUUUUGAACCGAAUUAUGAAAUGGGCCGUUAUUGAAAUGUUUUCAGAGGUAGGACGUUUUCGAACUUACUGUUGAGAUAGGCCGAUCUUACACUCAGGUGUCGAUAUGUCCAUGCAUCCAUAUAUAUUUAUUUUUUUAGAUGCAACAAAAUGUUAACUCAAGCGUAAAUUCGACGUUGGGACAUGCACGAAAUGCUUGCACUAUAUCUAGAAAAUCGUCAGCCCGUUGCUCAUAUUUUCGCAGUGUUCUUGAGGAAUUUUAACUUUUCUUCAAAAUGAUUUAUUUUGGAACGAAUUUCCGUCAUCCCUUGUCAAGUUUGGUUUGCAGACAAAAUAUCUACAUAAAAUGGGAUAAUUUGUUUCUAAGACAAACCAUGGAGCAAAGGACAGUCAGUUACUUACUCUGAAUCCUGAACGAAUGAGGCAUAGUCUAGAGACUAACCCGGGUUUUUUUGUAUGAGUAUUAUUUACAGAUUUUUGGUCAAUGAAUUGACAGCACUUGCACCAAUUUGCAAUCUUAAUUCGCUUACCUUGGAUGCAGGACUAAAACAGGAUCACCAACUGUUGUUUAAUGCCGAUGCAACUACAGUCAAAGGUGUUGGUGACAGCUUAACAAUUUUGGGUGUAUGAGAGAGCAAAGCCUGUCGAAGUCACAACCGGACUUUUUCAAGGCUUUCAAAACAUUUCCUCCCAACUAUACCGAUUGCAGAAAAUUCGUACAAGUGCGCGAAGGCACAUAGUCAUCAGCUGAGUAUAUUAUAUUGCAGAUUGAAGCUAAGAAAGAGGACAAUGAUACAAUUGGGUGUAUAUUAUCCGCGUUAGAAGUAAUAAAGAUCAGAAGGAGCUCUUGGAAACUUCAAAAACUAAACUGUGCAAAACAGCUGUUGGCCCAUUCGGUUGUGAUGAAAUAUUUAAUAUCAGUAUUGCCUUGAAAAAGCUAUUUAUUUGUCAAGAGUUAUGUCGUCUGGCGGCUUAAGAAAGUUCAGUACCUAACAUUUAUCUCUUCGGAUGUCUGGAAAUUCGUAUCGUUAAUCUCUAAUUGUGAAUGAUAAAAAGGGUUGGGAAAAAUUUACUAGAAGCUGUGCUCUCGUAUAAACUGAUCCUGGCAUAAAUUAUACAUCUUGUUUUAAUUACUUAUAGGCUGAAACAAAA